AGACCCGAAACCCGGUGAUCUAGCCAUGGGCAGGUUGAAGGUUGGGUAACACUAACUGGAGGACCGAACCGACUAAUGUUGAAAAAUUAGCGGAUGACCUGUGGCUGGGGGUGAAAGGCCAAUCAAACCGGGAGAUAGCUGGUUCUCCCCGAAAGCUAUUUAGGUAGCGCCUCGUGAAUUCAUCUCCGGGGGUAGAGCACUGUUUCGGCUAGGGGGUCAUCCCGACUUACCAACCCGAUGCAAACUGCGAAUACCGGAGAAUGUUAUCACGGGAGACACACGGCGGGUGCUAACGUCCGUCGUGAAGAGGGAAACAACCCAGACCGCCAGCUAAGGUCCCAAAGUCAUGGUUAAGUGGGAAACGAUGUGGGAAGGCCCAGACAGCCAGGAUGUUGGCUUAGAAGCAGCCAUCAUUUAAAGAAAGCGUAAUAGCUCACUGGUCGAGUCGGCCUGCGCGGAAGAUGUAACGGGGCUAAACCAUGCACCGAAGCUGCGGCAGCGACACUCA
rnacentral:rRNA from 1 species